CGCAUUAAGUGUCCCGCCUGGGGAGUACGAUCGCAAGGUUGAAACUCAAAGGAAUUGACGGGGGCCCGCACAAGCGGUGGAGCAUGUGGUUUAAUUCGAUGCAACGCGAAGAACCUUACCUGGGCUUGAACUGCAGGGGAAAGCACCUGAAAGGGUGCCCUCCUUCGGGACUCCUGUAGAGGUGCUGCAUGGCUGUCGUCAGCUCGUGUCGUGAGAUGUUGGGUUAAGUCCCGCAACGAGCGCAACCCUUAUCGUUAGUUGCCAUCAGGUCAAGCUGGGCACUCUAGCGAGACUGCCCGCGUUAAGCGGGAGGAAGGUGGGGAUGACGUCAAGUCCUCAUGGCCCUUACGUCCAGGGCUACACACGUGCUACAAUGGGUGGUACAAAGGGUUGCAAUACCGCGAGGUGGAGCUAAUCCCAAAAAACCAUCCUCAGUUCGGAUUGCAGUCUGCAACUCGACUGCAUGAAGCCGGAAUCGCUAGUAAUCGCGGAUCAGCACGCCGCGGUGAAUACGUUCCCGGGCCUUGUACACACCGCCCGUCACACCAUGGGAGUCGGGAGCACCCGAAGUCGCCACACUACAGUGGUGCCGAAGGUGAGCUUGAUGACUGGGGUGAAGUCGUAACAAGGUAGCCGUACGGGAACGUGCGGCUGGAUCACCUCCUUUCUAAGGAG
rnacentral:rRNA from 1 species